CAAAACUGGGAAGAAAAUGAUAUUCUGAGACAAAAGGCCAACUCUAAAACUCAGCAACAGUUACAAAAUGCAGGCCCAUGAUAAAAGGGUAUCCAUAAAAUGCUGACAAUGUCUUUCUCAUCAGACACGUGGGAGAGUUCAGAGGCUAAAAUGCCAUCAUCUUUUCCCUGGUCCCUUCUGAGCACCUUCUGAGCAAGUGGAAGCUCGGUUUCUCACCUUGAGCUUAAUAAAAAAUCUUUUUGAGUAGGAGAGGUUUUUGCUGUUGGUGAUGGUUAUGGAUCUGCUGUAACUAAAGAAUUCAACAGUUGCUAAUAUAUCACCAUUACUAAGACUAAUAUAUAAUAAUAUAAGAAGGCAAUACGGAAGAGUACUGGGAGCAUGAACCUUGAACUCAGAAAGGCCUGGCUUUGAGUACCACGUCCAUUUUUCAUGAGCUGUGUGACCUGGUAAAUUAUUUAAAGCUCUCAGCCUCAAUACUACUCUCAUAAAAUGGGAUAACACCUAUGACUCCAACUCAAUCUACAGGGAGGUUUGAAUUAGAUGUGAAAAUGCAUAGGUAAAUUACAUAAGUUCUCAGCAAAUAGUCACUCUGCAUAUCAUCAUAAAUUCACAGCAAUUGUUUAAUAUUCAAGAUGAUAAGGGAAAUACAGUCAAACUAGAAUUAUUUUCUAGUUCUCUACUCUGAACAAAUGGGCUAUUGCCAUUCUAGCAAGACCUCAAACCAAUCGCAUGGUUUUAAUUUGUAAAUGUGUGUCAUAUUGUAAUUUUUUUGAGAACCUAAAGGAAAAAAAUAGUCUUGUAAAAUGCAUUUAUAACCCUGUUUUGCUUUUAGCCCUUCCUCUGGUCUCCUUUGGGACUAUUAACCUGAAUUUUUCAAAACGUGAUACAAAAUGAAUGAACUGGUAUCUAAUCUUAUUGCUACCACAAAUUCUUACAGUUCUUCCUAUUCUCAUUCAAACUAUAAGUCUAUUGGAUAUGUGCAUAAUUUUUUUAAUUGACCAGAAAAAUACUUAUUGAUCUGGGUCAAACCGCUAUAAGAUUUUACAAAUACAGGUCCCAGCAAAGUAGGCCUCCAACUUAAGUACUAGACACAUAAUAUCAAAAAGACACCAACUUUAAAGACGAAUACCUUGAUCAUGCGGUCUCCACAUUUUAGGACACGAUUAGUUUAGAUUCCACAGCUUAGAAUAUUAGGCUCAUAUAUCUACUAAGGCAGUCAAAAAAGGUUCAUUAAAAAUGAAAAGGGGGUUCCCAUUAUGGCUAAGCUGUAACAAACCUGACUGGGAUCCAUGAGGACUCAGGUUCAAUCCCUGGCCUCGCUCAGUGGGUUGGGGAUCCUACAUUGCCUUGAGCUGCAGUGUAGGUUGCAGACGAGGCUUGGAUCCUGAGUUGUGGCUAUGGAGUAGGCCCUGUGGUGUAGCUACAGCUCCGAUUUGACCCCUAGCCUGGGAACUUCCAUAUGCCAAGGGUUCGGCCCUAAAAAGGACAAAAAAUAAAUAAAUAAAUAUAUAAAUAAAUAAAAAUAAAUGAAAAAGUUUCCUGAAGAGGUGCAAUUGAUCACACAUGAUGCUGAAGUAAAACUCUUGAUACUUGUAUUUUGAUGCCUGGUCUUACGUAACAAAUUACACCAAAAUUUAGGAGCUUAAAACAACAUGUAAUCUCAUAGUUUCUAUGGACAGAAAACUGGGAGCAGCUUGGCUGAGACAUUCCAGCUCAAGAAUGAACCUCUCCUGGUUAUGAGCUGUUGACCUGGGCUGCUGGCUCAUCUGAAGGCUUGACUGGGAGAAGACCUGCUUCCAAGCUCCCUCAUGGCAUUGUUGGUGGCCCUCUGGUCCUCACUGGCUAUUAGCAGAGAUUUUAGUUUUCCACUUUGAGGGCUUCUCCACUCAUUAAGCAAGUAAUUAAUAACUGCCAGGCACUGAACUAGAGACAGAGGAGAGAGAGAAAAUAAUGCAGACGUGUCCCCAAGCAGGAUUUAUGAAGCCCACGUUAACUCCUCACCUCUACAGAAAUUGUCACUCCUCUUUUUGCGUCACUGGUACCUUUAUUUUCUACUUCUUGCUGCCUAACCUACAAGGAAGUAUAGACCAAAUUUUGACCCAAACCACCCCCCCGCCCCCCAUCUUCUAGUACCCCACAUGGUGCUGUGGCUGUGGCUGUAGGCUGUGGUUGGCAGCUGCAGCUGCAAUUCAACCCCUAGCCUGGGCAUUUCCAUAUGCUGCAGGUUCAGCCCUUAAAAGAAAAAAAAAAAAAAAAAAAAGCAUACAAGUAUUUGGUGCUGUCAUUGGAUUCUGUUAGAGCCGCCAGUUACUUGAAGAAACACUUUUGGGGGUUUGGUUUUGUUUUGUUUGAUUUCGCUUUUGCUUUUGGAGACCACACCUACGGUAUAUGCAAGUUCCCAGGCUAGGGAUCAGUUCAGAUCUGCAGCUGCUGGCCUACAGCACAGCUCAUGACAACGCCGGAUCAUUAACCCACUGAUUGAGGCCAGGGAUCAAACCCACAUCCUCAGGGAUACUAGCCCAUGAGGCACAACGAGAACUCCUGUUUCCUUAAUACACAAUGUACAGAAGACAUUAGCCAACCUGGAGAUGCCCCAGAAUGGACUUUCAUUUCCAGAGUCUCUGAUAAGUGUGUUUUCUUUCCUCACUGGUCACGAGAACCUGGCGUUGGAAGGGAUGCUUGGGUCACUGAUGGGAAGGAAUAGCGACUCACUUGUGUGUGUGACUCAUUGGGACAUUUAGGUUUUCCCAGGACUGGCUUGUUAAUGGUUGAACGAACUAAACGCCAGUCAGGAGCAAACCACUUUGUUUUCCAUGAAUAUUUCCACUUCUGUGACCUAGAGCCUUCCUUCAAAUCCCAUCUAUUUAGGGAGAAUUCGGGGACAAUGGAUAAAUGGCAUUAAUAUUUCCCCGCUCACCUCCUGGAGGGCUGGCAUUUUUCAGGAGAAGGUGACAUCAGCGUGAAACUCACCCUUGUGAAGCUUUCAGAAACAUGUCUUCUUAUUGAAAGAUUAGAUUAUCCUUCUCCCAUUGUUUUCCAUUAGAUUUUGUUUCCUUUCUCCUUUUUGGGGAAGGCCAGCUCACUCUUUUUAAAAGGUGAUGGACCAUGUCAGGAUUUAGAAAAUGAAAGGAAAGAGAUUGGUUUGGAUUUUCUCCCUCCCUUUGUGCUCGAAAGCUCAAUAAACUCCGAAUGGUGACUGCAGGUAUAGGGGUAGAGGAAAGCUUUUGUAUCCUUAGAAAACCUAGGUUUCAGUGGGAUUAUAGAAGUAGUCAAGAGAUAGGGGAAAAAAGUUCAAAUAGCAUUUUGCCUACUUUCCAUGUCAAUGGAUAUGUAUCAGCCAUAGCCCAUUGCUAUAAGAAUCAGCAUGUUUAAGUAUUGAUAAAAAAAAAUUUUUUUGAGGGCACAAUACAAGUUAUCAAAAAAUUGGAUGAGUUUGUUGUAAUGAAGACAGGACUGGAUGUAGUUUAUAUUCAAGUUGAUGAAUUUUUCUGAAUACUGAAUAAAUUGUCAAAGUGGGACUAAAACUCCAUGUGAAAGAAUCCGUCCAAACUUGUUAAUCUGCCUGAUACAUCUUUUUGUGAUUUUUUUUCUAAGCAAAAAUGUUAAGCUCAUUCCAGCACGACUGUAUAGAUUGGGACUUGGCUAUACUCAUUUCUCGUUAGUUCUAGUGUCACCUUUCUUUAGAGCAAUUUCCAAAAUAACUCAGCAUAUAGCAUCUCUAAAGCCAGUGGUAAAACUGAGAUGUGCAAUUUUCACUCUGGCUUUAUGUAACAGAGAGAAUUUCUUUACCCUUAAAAUAUGAACAUAAGCAACUGUCAGGGUCAUUGGUCAAUAUUUAUCAACAUACACGCCUCCCCAGCUUCUUUUUCAGUAACUCCGUGUUACAAGAGCAGAGUUGCCUGUGGCCACUUGAGGGUUAAAAUCCAUUAAAACUUUCCAAUUUCAACCAAUUGACUUUCAGAGAAAUGGGAAUUGGUAUGAAAGACGAGAAUCAGGGAAUGUAUAGCCUUGAAUGCACAGGCAGUCAGGGAGCGCAUUCACCUUUUCCACCACUAUUUGGUACCACUUACUUCUGAGUACUUAGCCUAGCACUCACUCCCUCUCCCCUGCCAGACAGUGGUGCAUAUCAGAAAUGACUGAGAGGGCGUUCUCUUGUGGCACAGUGGGUUAAGUAUCUGGCAUUGUCACAGCAGCGGCUUGGGUAGCUGCUGUGGAGUGGGUUCCAUCCUUGGCCCAGGAACU
rnacentral:lncRNA from 1 species